CACGCGGCGGCGGGUCCCUGCUCGCUGACUGCCUGUGUGCGCCCAGCUACUCAAACUGCAACAAAGAAACCACCGCGGUAGUCAUUCCGCUACGUUGUUUAGUUGCGUGUCAUUUUUUUUAAAUAGACAUGUUUUAACACUGUACCGAUGACAUUGUCGCCAUUGGAACCGAAACCACGUUUUUUUUUUGCCAAGACGAACUGACUUUAAAGAGCGUGUAGGAGGGUUAUCGCUCAUCGCAAGUUGAGGUCCCCGACGGAGACCCUUAAGACCCCAGGGUGCCCCCUUGACCCUCGACCCCGGGGCUGGACCCACGCUGAGGGGCGAAGAGAUGUUACCAUGUCCACACUGAGCCCCAGGUGAGUCCAUUUUACCGCUCUAAAGUGAAUUAUAAAGACACCACUCUUUAAGACUCUUUUUGGGCUCCUGGUCAAUUUAAACCACGUCAUUGAAAUGUAUUGAAUUUAAUUAAUUUCAGGCGAACAUUCAAUACAUUUGGUCCACCCCCAGCGUCUGUGGCUCCGUCUGUUCUGUCUCUCUCCCUGCCUGCCGCUUGUGUGUUGCUCAGUUGUCUUCCUAAUUAUACCCCUAUCCGUGUCUUGGGCCCACCUCGUGUUUCCUCGUGCUGUGACCUGAGCUGCGCCGCCGUGAAAUACCGUCCAGGUGACGCAACGCUGGUCCUCAACUACAACCAGCGUCCUCAUCGGGGCUCAUGCAACAUUCACACUGUCCUGUCAAACACACACGUGCGCACACACACUCACGCACACACACAUUAGUCGGAACUGUCAUUUUAACGCUGGUUAAAUCAAGAUUUCAAGGCGUUACGUCUUACAGUGUCUGUGGAUCAGGGCAGUGGCAUUUCAGUUGCUCCCGUAAGGACUAAACCUAAUCCUCGGCUUUUGUGGCAAUAAAAAGUUUGACAUAUUAAAACCUGAACCAGAUAAACUAUUGGCUAUCAGCAAAACUGAGUGCGGUACUUGAAAUGUCACAGCUUUUACAAAACAGAUAAGCCAUGGUGGAUCAGACUCAACUGUCUCGAUACAAUCUCGUAGAUUCUGUUAAAUCUAUAGCAAGUUUCCACAUCAAGCUGGUACCUAAAUUCCCGAAACAGGAAUUAGGUAAAGUACUGAGCUCUUACUGAGCUGAUAUUGACCUGAAUGUAUGUAGUCUCAAUGUAUGUAUUUUCCCAGAAUGCUGUGGGAUUGUUUAUAUAGCUAGAUAUAUCUGUUUGGCCUAUUGGUGACCAUUAACAAGGAAUUUAAAUAAAAAGAUUGGACAUUGAGUUCUGCGAGUACAUGCCCUAAUCUGUAUGCCGUCAGAGGUUGACAUUCAACAUUUAUAAGACGGAAAACUUCCAGCUGAUGAGAUGUAGUACUGCCUCCCCCACUGUGUGAAUUGUUAAAACGUUGAAGCAUGACUAGGAUAGGGGGACGGGUCAAAACAACUGACAGGUCUCAAACCAAAUAACCCUGUGUCGGCAUAGCCUACCCUGGUCCCCAUGGCUCUAGUUGGGGGUUGGAGUAGGGACCACCAGUGCAGACCCACCCAGCGAUGGGUUUUGUCCCCUGGAUGCUGCUCAGAGUCUAUACGUCUAGCAGGAGAGGUGCACGUUAACGAUACGCCUUGACAUUAUUUUCGGCAGCGCUCCCAAAGGUAUUGAUGGUCUGAUUGAAUUCUAUAAAAAGUGUGUUCUGCCAGAUGCCCCUCUGGCCCGUCGACUGUAAUAGUGUGACAUUUAGACGAUUUAAGAAUCAUAAACGAUGCUUUGUUGUCCUGACAGUCGGCAAUCCGUCUUUCUGUGUGUGUGUGUGUGUGUGUGUGUGUGUGUGUGUGUGUGUGUGUGUGUGUGUGUGUGUGUGUGUUAAUUAAUGAUUUAGGGUCUCAGAGGGAAUUGGGGGGGGUGAAGCCCCCGGCGUGUGGCAACAAGGGGUCGGGGUUGUCAGAUGGGGGCCAGCAGCUGGGGGAGGAGGAGCAGGAGUAGGGGGAGGUGUAGAGGCAGGGGGAGCCGAGGGGAGGGGGUCGGCACUGAGGACGGAGCGGCAUCGAGGACGUGAGUGGGACAGGUCUGGAUGCAGAAGAUCUAUCAUGGAGAAAUUGAUUCCCUAUCUUGGGUAUCCUAAUGGCGAGCUGUUAUCGUUCAGUAUUAUAUAUAGACAUGGGCCAGCUCUUUAUUUUAUGUGCACAGCACAAGGGGGAUGUCUCCAUUGGCUCCGUCUGCCUAUCUACGGUUAUGUUAAAUCUGAGGGAAGGAAAGGUUGUAUACCUGCCUCUCUCUCUGUCUGUCUCCCUUUUAUCCUCUCCCUCUCCUGGGGGUUUCUCCCCAUUCUCCCACCUCUCUUCUUUCUGUCCCAUAAUUCACACGUUGCCCUACAGGGACUGUCCUUCUGUCCUUCACUUCUACACACCUCUCCUCAUUUUUUUUUUUAUCUAUCCAUCCAUUCAGCCCAUCUAGAUGGAUAUCUACACCUCCCUCCCUCCCUCCCUCCCUCCCUCCCUCCCUCUCCCUGGCAGUCCUUUCCCCUAGGGCCACAUACACAGUUGGGGUGCUUUUGUCUUUGACACGUGCUGGCAGAAGGCAAAGCUACACACACACACACACACGCAUGCAUACACAUGCACACGCGCACGAACACACGUGCCACAGUGCUACAGUCAGCUCUUGUGUCUAUUGUUAGUAGGCUGCUCAGCUGCGAGGCCCCUGGCCCUAAUUUUCUCUGUGGAGGUGAGAGGAGGGUCCCCCCUUUGUCCUGCAAAUACCCCCUCCCCAC